AACUCACCAAUUUCUAAGCCCAAAUCAAUACUCCACAUCCCUCCCCCUUUUUUUGGAAUUGUUUUGUUGUUGGUGCCUGGAGUCAAACUCCACUUUACGCUGAGGAGCGGCUCCUGUCAUUGAUUUACUUACAUUCAGCUUCACAGCGCUGGAGGGAGAGGAGGCGGGAGAGGUGCCCCAGUGGGUUGCAUGGUCACAUCCUUCUAAUGAGCCCCGAUCAUCAGGUAUUCGAGCCAGAGACACCCACCCUCCUUCUGAUG
rnacentral:lncRNA from 1 species